GAAUGAGAACAUGUAUUUUCAAGACAGAUAUUAGCAAGACUCAAGUGACCCUCAUCUUCAUUAGCCUGGAAAGCAGUGGACCGUUGGUCAUUGCAAGCAUCCAUUAUAGCACACACACCAGCAAGUCCCAACUUUCUCACACUGUGUAAGCCGAGCUACAAAAACCUUCAGACCAGAGCAGCUGCCUGGAAAAAGCAGAAACCAGCAGAGCUGCCUGAAUCGAUUUAGACCAACUAAGGUACCUGGAAAGGACACUGUCCAACCUGUUGAACUGGCUGCAGGAUGUUCAGUAUAUGUUGAGCUCCUGCAAGCUGCUGGGAUGAAGAUCCAGAGGAUACGGCCAGACUGGCUCUCUUCCCCCACAAAAACAUCUGGCUUUGACACCUGGGGACAAUGGCUCUUGCCUGUGAAUCACAACUGCGGGAUGAGCUGGAACUGUUUUUGCAGGCGCGAUCUGUAAAAGAGGGAAAGUAAGAAAAGGUCUGGAAACUUCCAAUCUCCUGGGCCCAUCAGGAAGAA